UCUUUUCAAAACAACAAAGGUGAUAAAUAAACUCUCUAUAUUGAGGUAGGCUGCUGUGAAAAAGUGCGCAUGCGUAUUCCAUAACAGAUCUAAUACAUGUAAGAUAGAAUAAAACGAGCUCCUUAGACUUAACCUGGGCGCGCUUUAAUU